rnacentral:rRNA from 1 species
AACGAACGCUGGCGGCAUGCUUAACACAUGCAAGUCGAACGGAAAGGCCCUGCUUUUGUGGGGUGCUCGAGUGGCGAACGGGUGAGUAACACGUGAGUAACCUGCCCUUGACUUUGGGAUAACUUCAGGAAACUGGGGCUAAUACCGGAUAGGAGCUCCUGCUGCAUGGUGGGGGUUGGAAAGUUUCGGCGGUUGGGGAUGGACUCGCGGCUUAUCAGCUUGUUGGUGGGGUAGUGGCUUACCAAGGCUUUGACGGGUAGCCGGCCUGAGAGGGUGACCGGCCACAUUGGGACUGGGAUACGGCCCAGACUCCUACGGGAGGCAGCAGUGGGGAAUAUUGCACAAUGGGCGGAAGCCUGAGGCAGCACCGCCGCGUGCGGGAUGACGGCCUUCGGGUUGUAAACCGCUUUCGCCUGUGACGAAGCGUGAAUGACGGUAAUGGGUAAAGAAGCACCGGCUAACUACGUG